GCAAGCUUUCCAGUCCGUUACUGACGCUAAAGCUCGAAGGUGCGGGUAUCGAACAGGGAUUAGAUACCCUGGUAGUCCCGCACGGGUAAACGAUGGAUGCCCGCUGUAUGCGAUACACAGUAUGCGGCCAAGCGAAAGCGUUAAGCAUCCCACCUGGGGAAGUACGCCGGCAAACGGUGAAACUCAAAGGAAUUGACGGGGGCCCGCACAAGCGGAGGAACAUGUGGUUUAAUUCGAUGAUACGCGAGGAACCUUACCCGGGCUUGAAUUGCAGCAGAACGAUGGAGAGAUCCUGAGGCCUUCGGGGCUGCUGUGGAGGUGCUGCAUGGUUGUCGUCAGCUCGUGCCGUGAGGUGUCGGCUUAAGUGCCAUAACGAGCGCAACCCCCUCUGCCAGUUGCCAUCAGGUCAUGCUGGGCACUCUGGCAGCACUGCCACCGUAAGGUGUGAGGAAGGUGGGGAUGACGUCAAAUCAGCACGGCCGACGUGAGGUGCUACACACGUGCUACAAUGUGUAUACAGACCGUGGGGGUCGCGCGAGAUCCUCCAAUCCAGAAAGUCAUCGUCAAUUCGGAAUGGAUCUGCAACCCGACGCCACGAAGC
rnacentral:rRNA from 1 species